rnacentral:rRNA from 1 species
CCAGAGNAAUUUGGAUUAAUACCCUCAUAGUAUUAUAUUAAGGCAUCUUUUUAUAAUUAAAACUCCGGUGGUUAAAGAUGAGUAUGCGUCCUAUUAGCUAGUUGGUAAGGUAAAAGCUUACCAAGGCUNCGAUAGGUAGGGGGCCUGAAAGGGUGAUCCCCCACACUGGUACUGAGACACGGACCAGACUCCUACGGGAGGCAGCAGUGAGGAAUAUUGCACAAUGGAGGAAACUCUGAUGCAGCCAUGCCGCGUGCAGGAUGAAUGCCCUAUGGGUUGUAAACUGCUUUUAUACAAGAAGAAACAUCGGUACGUGUACCGACUUGACGGUAUUGU